rnacentral:piRNA from 1 species
GCGGUGACACUGUAUAAACACGAUGACC